rnacentral:rRNA from 1 species
CCUACGGGGUGCAGCAGUGAGGAAUAUUGGUCAAUGGACGAGAGUCUGAACCAGCCAAGUAGCGUGAAGGAUGACUGCCCUAUGGGUUGUAAACUUCUUUUAUAUGGGAAUAAAAUGUUCCACGUGUGGGAUUUUGUAUGUACCAUAUGAAUAAGGAUCGGCUAACACCGUGCCAGCAGCCGCGGUAAUACGGAGGAUCCGAGCGUUAUCCGGAUUUAUUGGGUUUAAAGGGAGCGUAGGUGGAUUGUUAAGUCAGUUGGGAAAGUUUGGGGGUCAACCGUAAAAUUGCAGUUGAAACUGGCAGGCUUGAGUGCAGUAGAGGUGGGCGGAAUUCGUGGUGUAGCGGUGAAAUGCUUAGAUAUCACGAAGAACUCCGAUUGCGAAGGCAGCUCACUGGACUGGAACUGACGCUGAGGCUCGAAAGUGUGGGUAUCAAACAGGAUUAGAUACCCUUGUAGUC